AUUGAACGCUGGCGGCAUGCUUUACACAUGCCAGUCGAACGGCAGCGCGGGCUUCGGCCUGGCGGCGAGUGGCGAACGGGUGAGUAAUACAUCGGAACGUGCCCAGUAGUGGGGGAUAGCUCGGCGAAAGCCGGAUUAAUACCGCAUACGGCCUGAGGGUGAAAGCGGGGGAUCUUCGGACCUCGCGCUAUUGGAGCGGCCGAUGGCAGAUUAGCUAGUUGGUGGGGUAAAGGCCUACCAAGGCGACGAUCUGUAGCUGGUCUGAGAGGACGACCAGCCACACUGGGACUGAGACACGGCCCAGACUCCUACGGGAGGCAGCAGUGGGGAAUUUUGGACAAUGGGCGAAAGCCUGAUCCAGCAAUGCCGCGUGUGUGAUGAAGGCCUUCGGGUUGUAAAGCACUUUUGGCGGGAACGAAAAGGACUGUGCCAAUACCACGGUUCGAUGACGGUACCCGCAGAAUAAGCACCGGCUAACUACGUG
rnacentral:rRNA from 1 species